CUACGGGAGGCAGCAGUGGGGAAUUUUCCGCAAUGGGCGAAAGCCUGACGGAGCAAUACCGCGUGAGGGAAGACGGCCUAUGGGUUGUAAACCUCUUUUUUCAGGGAGGAAUAACUGACGUGUACCUGAAGAAUAAGCAUCGGCUAACUCCGUGCCAGCAGCCGCGGUAAGACGGAGGAUGCAAGUGUUAUCCGGAAUCACUGGGCGUAAAGCGUCUGUAGGUGGUUGAACAAGUCAACUGUUAAAUCUUGAGGCUCAACUUCAAAAUCGCAGUCGAAACUGUUUGACUAGAGUAUAGUAGGGGUAAAGGGAAUUUCCAGUGGAGCGGUGAAAUGCGUAGAUAUUGGAAAGAACACCGAUGGCGAAGGCACUUUACUGGGCUAUUACUGACACUCAGAGACGAAAGCUAGGGUAGCAAAUGGGAUUAGAUACCCCAGUAGUCCUAGCCGUAAACAAUGGAUACUAGAUGUUGAACAGAUCGACCUGUGCAGUAUCAAAGCUAACGCGUUAAGUAUCCCGCCUGGGAAGUAUGCUCGCAAGAGUGAAACUCAAAG
rnacentral:rRNA from 1 species